CCUACGGGAGGCAGCAGUGGGGAAUUUUGGACAAUGGGGGCAACCCUGAUCCAGCCAUUCCGCGUGAGUGAAGAAGGCCUUCGGGUUGUAAAGCUCUUUUGUUCGGGACGAAACGGUUAAGGUUAAUAACCUUGACUACUGACGGUACCGGAAGAAUAAGCACCGGCUAACUACGUGCCAGCAGCCGCGGUAAUACGUAGGGUGCGAGCGUUAAUCGGAAUUACUGGGCGUAAAGCGUGCGCAGGCGGUUUUGUAAGCCAGAUGUGAAAUCCCCGGGCUCAACCUGGGAAUGGCAUUUGGGACUGCAAGGCUAGAGUAUGGCAGAGGGGACUAGAAUUCCUGGUGUAGCAGUGAAAUGCGUAGAUAUCAGGAGGAAUACCGAUGGCGAAGGCAGGUCCCUGGGCCAAUACUGACGCUCAUGCACGAAAGCGUGGGGAGCAAACAGGAUUAGAUACCCUGGUAGUCCACGCCCUAAACGAUGUCAACUGGUUGUUGGGGGAUUUAUUCUCUUAGUAACGAAGCUAACGCGUGAAGUUGACCGCCUGGGGAGUACGGUCGCAAGAUUAAAACUUAAAUGAAUUGACGGNUUGUAGAGUUGCGAGCGACACGAGGGAGAGG
rnacentral:rRNA from 1 species